rnacentral:rRNA from 1 species
UUCAGNGGUUAACCUGCGAAACUCGAAUGNNNNAACGGCGAGAUUCAUCGKCACUCCGCGGCGUACGUGCGCGCGCCCCGGAUGCAGCGCGUGCACGUCGACGUUCGCGGACGGCGUGCACUUCUCGUCUAGUAUACAUCGCGACCCGUUCGCGGCCUAAGCGCGGUCCGUGCAGCCGGGUUGCCGUACGGUAUACGAUGAAUCGCGCACGCGUUUCGACGCGUCAGGCCCGACGCGAGCGGCGCCGUCCUGCCACAGUGCGGACGCCGGCGCGUCGUCGCUGUCGUCGCAGCCGAAGUCGCUGACAGUGCGCGUUUCAGUCUGCGAUGUUGACAGUUUCGGGCACUCGCAGGACCCGUCUUGAAACACGGACCAAGGAGUCUAGCAUGUGUGCGAGUCAUUGGGUUCAAACCUACAGGCGUAACGAAAGUGAAGGUGCGCCGCGCGCUCAGGGAGGAUGGAGGGUCGCCGUCUCGCACUCCCGAGGCGUCUCGUUUCCAAUCAGUGAAUGCAGGCGCGCUCAGAGCACAGAUGCUGGGACCCGAAAGAUGGUGAACUAUGCCUGGUCAGGUCGAAGUCAGGGGAAACCCUGAUGGAGGACCGUAGCGAUUCUGACGUGCAAAUCGAUCGUCGGAAUCUGGGUAUA